GUGCUGGUUGGCAGUAGCAUAUGUACUAAAAUUUUAUUGAUAUAAAGAAGAUUAGCAUGGCCCCAUAUGCAAAGAUGAAACAAAUUCAUAAAGUGUUUCACAUUUUU
rnacentral:snRNA from 1 species